rnacentral:lncRNA from 1 species
UAUUGAUCACGGUGAUUAGAAUAUGACCAAAGAACUCAGGAGAUGGCCACUGACCUAAAAUGCUCUCAGGGUAGCACCACUGUUUUUGAACAAGUGGCUGUUGUCAGAGACUGAGACAGCACAUACAGGAAAGGCUGAAGAGUAACUGCACAGUAGGACCAUACCCCUUAUCCAUCCCACUUACACAUGAUAGGCCCUUGUUUGAGAGAGAUAGAAGAGUAGAUAUUGGAAUGGGGAGACUGUCACAGGUUACUUAAUUUCUUCAAAUAAACUUUGCCCUGAAAUUUAAACUGACAGUGGAUUGGAUUGAGUAAUUUACGUGGGAGAGACAGCACGAAAGCAGAGUUGCAAAGACUUGGAUAUGUUACUUAUGCAGCAGGGUUAUAUUGAUGAGGGGAAAAUGGGAUGGUUUCACACUGGUGCAGAGAACACUGUCCUGGACUUCAGUGGGCCAGAUUCUAGGCCCUGACUUGCCACUGAAUGAUCUCAGGUAAGUUACCUUAUCUUUCAGAGUGUGAACUGUUUUUGUUUUUGUUUUUGUUUUUGUGGGGUAGUAUGCAUCUCCUAAUUGGUUCUCUGUCGUCUUAUUUUUAAAGGGAUUGGUUCAUAUGAUCUUUACCUAUAAUCUUCCCUGACUUCAUGUAUUACAUAUAAUGUUUGGUGGUUGUAUGGUUUGUUCUACAAACAUUUAGUGCAAUGCAGUAUGCUAGACCCUUUUACUCUGACCUCAAAAAGUUCACAGCUACUUUCAAAGCUAGACAAAUAAUAACACUGUGGUAUGAUAAGUUCAUAUUAGUGGGCAGUACAGGCUAAUGUAAUGGCAUAAGUGAAGUCAAGAGAAGGUCUCAUACAUCAGCAGAGGUUUCACAAAGAUCUCUUUAUACCAGAGAUAAUAAUAUGGGUGGCUGAACAUGAGUGAACUUGAAGUUAUAACUAGGGCCAAGAUUGAUAGCUUUCCCCAAAGCAUUUUCCUUAAAAGUUGGUAUGGGACCCAGAACAGGCUGAAAAAUGUGACUUUAUGGCUGAGGAGGUGAAUUCUAGCUUCUGUAAAGAGCCAUGCCAUGGUACCAUCCUCAUGGUUAAGGACUGUGAACAUAUUGGGAAGGGAGUCAGGGAGAGGGCUACCAAAUGCCACCUACCUGUCAUUCUUUUGACACAUUCAGUAGGUGGCUACAGACAUACCUCAGAUAUUACAGGUUCAGUUCCAGACCACUGCAACAGAGCAAACCAAAUGCAUUUUUUAGGUUCUCAGUGCAUAUAAAAGUUAUGCUUUUACAGUAACCUAGUAAGUGUGCAGUAGUAGUAUUAUUUCUUUAAAGAAAAUAAAGUAUAUACCACAGGCACUUGGGUGGCUGAUGUGGUUAAGCGUCUGACUCUUGAUCUCAGCUCAGAUCUUAAUCUCAGAGUAUGAAUUAAAGCCCUACAUUGGCCUCCACAUGGCAUGAAGCCUACUUUAAAAAAAGAAUGUGCAUACCUUAAAAAAUACUUCGUUGCUAAAAAUACUAACAAUCAUCUGAGCUUUUAACAAGUAGUAAUCACAGACCACAUAACUAAUAUAUUAAUAAUGAAAAAGUUUGAAGUAUUGCAAGAUUUACCAAAAUGUGACACAGACACAAAGCAAGCAAAUAGUGUUGGAAAAAUGGUGCCAGUAGACUUGCUGCAAACCUUUAGUCUGUAAAAAUAAAAACAAAAAACCCCUGCAAUAUCUGCAAAGUGCAAUAAAGUGGAGCACAAUGAAAUGGUGUGCCUGUCUAUCCAUUGAGCAAGAUCCUUUGGUUGCAAGCAAGAAAAGCUGGCCUUGACCUUCCCAAAACAGGAUCUAUGGAAGUAUGUGAAAUGGCUCCUGAAUUGGAAGGAAGGGCUGAAGGACCAGCCUUUGGAAGGAUAAGCUUGAGGGGUCCAGGGAGAAGGAUUGCUCCUGGGGAAUCUUUUCAGGUCAUGUUUUGGGAUGACAGUCAUUCUUAUUUCUUUUUUAUUUUUUAUUUUUUUUUCAUUCUUAUUUCUUUUGUUACUUAAGUCAUUUGAGUGGCUCAGUCAGUUGAGUGUCUGACUCUUGGUUUUGACUCAGGUCAUGACUUCAGGUUCGUGAGAUCGAGCCCCACAUCAGGCUCAGCACAGAGUCUGCUUGGAGUUCUCUUCUUCUGCUUCAGGUCUCGCCUCUGGCCAGAGGACCCUGAAUCAUAUGUUCCAUCCAUCAAGGCAACAAAGUGGGCAUGUAAUCCUCAAGGGGAAAUUGAAGUCCUGGGAUAGAAGAGGGGAAUGGGGAAUAAUGCUAGCCAGCCAGCCCACAGGAACAGAGGUGCACUCCAAUCUCCACAUGUUGCCCAUCUUGGGAUCCUUAAAGCCUCAGAUAUACUCGCCCUCUGAACUUAAGGCAGAAUUGCUUCUUUCCUCUCCUUAGUCUCUGUAAUACUUUUUUUAUUACUGCUGUAAGUCAAUUAAAAUACCAUGUUAGAGUUUUGUUUUUGUUUUGAAGUUAUUAGGAAUUAUACAGAAAACAAAUUCCUUAAUGAAAGAUCUGGAUUGAUUGAAACUGAUUUUUAAAGAUUUUAUUAUUUGAGACAGAGAGAUGGAGAGUAUAGAGGGAGAGUGUAAGGGAGAAGCAGAUUCCCUGUGGAGCAGAGAGGCUGGUGCCGGCCCAAUCCCAGGACCCUGAGAUCAGGACCUGAGCCGAAGGCAGAUACUCAACCAACUGAGCAACCCAUGUGCCCCGAAAGAUCUGGAUUUUGACCAGUGCCCUACUUGAGUCAUGGAGUAGCCUUCUUCAGGCUCCUCUGCAAAUGGGCCCUGUGGCCAAAGGCCCCAGUUCCUGCCACCCAGGAUCGUGCACCCAGGCCUGGGAAGGGUCAUGCGGAGGUUUCCACCAGCCCAGGAGCUAUCCCCUCCAGUGGCUCAUUCAUGGCCACCCAUGACUAUUAUACCACCUGGGUUCCACUUCCAGGAAUAGCUUCUGCGGAAGUGCAAAGUAUCUCGGGGAAGCCAUCUCUCACCACCCUGGUCUCCCCAGAACUGACUGUGACCUGAGUCACUGGUGGGCAAACUUCUUUUUUGGGAAGUCUGUUCUCUCAGUCUUGUUUACAGUACUAAGAGUUCCCAGAAUGCUUGGAAUCUCCCCAGGCCUCCAGCAGCACAAUCACCUGUGACUUGACUCUGGAAGCAGCCUGGUGGCUAGCCAGGUAAAGCUAGCUGGCAAAGGCAACACAAGGCCCCAGUGUUUGUAUGUGUGUUUUUAAGAUUUUAUUUAUUUAUUCAUAAGAGACACAGAGAGAGAAGGGCAGAGACACAGGCAGAGGGAGAAGCAGGCUCCCCGCGGGGAGCCCAUGUGGACUCAAUCCCAGGACCCCGGGAUCAUGACCUGAGCCAAAGGCAGACGCUCAACCACUGAGCCACCCAGGCGUCCCCAGGCCCCAGUCUUGAGUGGUGUUCACCAGCCACAAGGUUUCAAGAGGCACUAGGCUCAUCAGAGCCUCUCCCCUCCCCCAUAGACUAGGCCAACUGUAGCAAACAGAAGCAGUUGGAUUCUUUUAUAACAGCAAAACACCAAAAAGGAAGUUGAGAGAACCCCACUCUUUACUAUCCAAAUCACAUGCAAACCUUCCUGACACCCUGUAACUAUAUGCCUUGCACCAAAUGGAAAAUAAACUCUAAGCAGCCAGUUAAAAAAACAAACAAAAAAAUUUAUAUAUAUAUAUAUAUAAAUUAUAGAGUGUACCUCUCUACCUCUGUCCUCUCCUUCUUAUAAUGGAAGAGGUGUCCCUCCUACUGACCAAGGCUAAUCCCCUUCCCAAAACCCUUGCUCGUUUAAUUACCCCAUCUGUUCAUCAUUUUCACUCUGGAGUUCCUCAUUUGUCCUUACUCAUGCUCACAGGUUUGUAAGAAUUAAUACAUGUAAAAUGCUGAGGACAGUACCUUGCCCUCAGUAAACUUGAUAAAUGUUAGCUGUUAUUAUGAGGGAGACCAUUAGUUCCCCACUAAUGGGGAACCUUUACUGGGAUCAGUGAUCUCAGGGAGGGGUCAAAUAUAUAAGGGGAAAUAUUUUCAGCUAAGGGGGAAAUGAGGCAUACUCAAUGUCAUUAUUACCUUUCUCAUAAAUACUAGAGUUCUUCAGGGGUCUUUGCACCCUCUUCUAACUUUAUAUAUUCCUGGGUGAUUUUUAUCCACUCUUCUGAGUUAAACCAUUUAAAUACUGAUGACCCUUAAUUUUAUAUCUCCAUUUUUCCCGACCCCCAGAUUCACUUAGAUUUCCUCCUUUCCUUCCUUCAACAAUAGGGCCAGCUGGGGCGCCUGGGUGGUUCAGCUGGUUCAGCUUCUGACUCUUGAUUUCACCUCAAGUCUCCAUCUCAGUUGUGAGUUCAAGCCUACUUUAAACAAAACAAAACAAAACAAAAAAAAA